rnacentral:rRNA from 1 species
GACGGGUGAGUAAUGCGUAGGAAUCUACCCAGUAGCGGGGGACAACUCGAAGAAAUUCGAGCUAAUACCGCAUACGCCCUACGGGGGAAAGGGGGCCUCUUCUUGAAAGCUUCCACUAUUGGAUGAGCCUACGUAAGAUUAGCUUGUUGGUGAGGUAAUGGCUCACCAAGGCAACGAUCUUUAGCUGGUCUGAGAGGACGACCAGCCACACUGGGACUGAGACACGGCCCAGACUCC